GUGAGGAAUUUUCCGCAAUGGGCGAAAGCCUGACGGAGCAAUGCCGCGUGAAGGAUGAAGGCCUAUGGGUUGUAAACUUCUUUUCUCAGAAAAGAAUUAUGACGGUAUCUGAGGAAUAAGCAUCGGCUAACUCUGUGCCAGCAGCCGCGGUAAGACAGAGGAUGCAAGCGUUAUCCGGAAUGAUUGGGCGUAAAGCGUCUGUAGGUUGUUUAAAAAGUAUUCUGUCAAAGAUUAGGGCUUAACCCUAGAUAGGCAGAAUAAACUUUUAAGCUAGAGUUUGGUAGAGGCAGAGGGAAUUCCCGGUGGAGCGGUGAAAUGCGUAGAUAUCGGGAGGAACACCAAAGGCGAAGGCACUCUGCUGGGCCAAUACUAACACUGAGAGACGAAAGCGAGGGGAGCAAACAGGAUUAGAAACCCGUGUAGUCC
rnacentral:rRNA from 1 species